GUGGAUUAGAUACCCUAGUAGUCCACGCGGUAAACGAUGAAUACUAGGUGUAGGGGGUAUCAACUCCCCCUGUGCCGGAGCUAACGCAAUAAGUAUUCCGCCUGGGGAGUACGGCCGCAAGGUUGAAACUCAAAGGAAUUGACGGGGGCCCGCACAAGCAGCGGAGCAUGUGGUUUAAUUCGAAGCAACGCGAAGAACCUUACCAAGGCUUGACAUCCACUUAAACGCAUGGAAACAUGCGGUCUCUUCGGAGGAAGUGAGACAGGUGGUGCACGGCUGUCGCCAGCU
rnacentral:rRNA from 1 species